rnacentral:lncRNA from 1 species
AAUUUUCGAGCAGACUUUCCCUGUCAAUUGCAGUAAGGCUCGUACUUGUUUCAAAAGUUAGUGAUAGUGCUAACAUAGGCUGAGCUAGGUAUGAUACAACCAUCUAAUCUGUUGGUUUCAGGAUGAGGUAGAAUUAGACGGGUUGGUUUCAUCCCUAGCAGCCAUUCUCGUGUUUAGUUGGGUUAGAAACCGAAAUUGGGUCCUCCACAUGCAGUAAAUAUUCCCUCCAGAUGCUUCAUCAAGUGAUUCCACUGAUUUGGAGAAAUCGGCUUGUUAUUCGUCCAUGAAAGCAAAGAAAAAAAAUAACCAAGCAAUUCUUACCGCGCUCACCCCCGCAUGCUUAGGGACCUUAGCGUACGAUCUGGGCUGUUUCCCUCUCGACUUUGGAUCUUAGCACCCAAUCAGUCUGUCUGUACUAAGGAUGACGGCCUGUAUUCGGAGUUUCCCUGGGGUUGGUAAAGCGAAAUGGGGGCCACCCUAGCCCAUUGAGUGCUCUACCCAAACAAAAGUUUUCGUGAUAAUUUUUUUGUUUUCGUGAUUAUCUUUUUCAUGGUUAUUUUUUCAUUUUCGUGAUUAUUUUUCGUAAAUAUUUGGUAUGUGCUCAUGAUCAUAUAUUUUUAUUUGCAUGUGUUAAAAACAGAAAGAAAUUGUUGCUGAAAAUUUAAAGUAUAGGCUUGUCAAAUGCAAAGAACUCUAUUUGUUUGGAGAUGUAAUCUCACCAUUUAUAUCGAAGAGGUGAGUGGCAUCAGAUUCUUCUCAUUUCAUCUCUCCAACUAAAUAGGGGGACGGAACCAAACCAUGACUUUUUUUAUCAUCAACUGAACACAAGGUUGGAACCAACCCAUGACAUUUUUUAUCAUCAACUGAACACAAGGAUGAAACCAACCCAUGACUUUGGGAUGAAACCAUGACAUUUCAUGACUUUCGGUCCUCAAACCAAACACACCAAAAGCAUUGGCCCUUCAUGUAACGUUGAUGUUUACACGAGUACACACUUUGUAAUGUGCGGGGCAGCAAGCCUAUUAAUUUCAAUAGAAUAUUGUAAGUUCUCCAUGCAACAACCAUGCCAUUUUUUCGUAAGGAAAGCAACCAUAAAAUUUUCGAGCAGACUUUCCCUGUCUAUUGCAGUAAGGCUCGUACUUGUUUCAAAAGUUAGUGAUAGUGCUAACAUAGGCUGAGCUAGGUAUGAUACAACCAUUUAAUUUUUAAAGUGGAUACCUAACAUAGUAAAGUCCAUGUGUCUUGUAUUCAAAUCUAUCACGUAAUUUUGGAGAAAACAGUUAAACAUGCAAUUGUUACAUACAGUGGACACCUAACAACGAAGUUUUAUUUUAUCAUUUCAGCUUGAACAAUGCAUCACUUCCUCUGUAAACUAAUAUAAGAUCUUUUAGAUCACUCACUAUCUUUAAGAUCACAAGUGAUCUAAAAUAUCGUAUGUUUUUAUAGAGGGAGUACAAUAUUAUAUUUGACAACAUCUGUAAUAACUGCUGAACAUGCUCAUGAUAGGAUGAAGGGGAGAAAAUUUGUCUCUAAAAGUAGCAUACGUGAAAAUGUGUAGUUCACACAUUCGAGGAUGGAGAUUUGAAUUUUAUUAAAUACCUAGAUGAUUUUAGAGUGGAAUGUGCUACCAUUGUCUUUCCAGUGUAGUUAAUUUGUUCCACGAAUUCUUCAAGUGAAACUAUUUAGUUGUCAAGAAAUUUAACCUUUCUUGACAAAAGACAACUUGCUCUUGAAAUGUGCCAAAAGCUAUUGGCACAUUUCAUGCUCUUAAUGAAC